rnacentral:rRNA from 2 species
GGCUUAAUGAUGAUAAUUUUAGGUCGAUCUGCCCAAUGAGAUAGUUAAAUGGCUGCAGUAUAACUGACUGUACAAAGGUAGCAUAAUCAAUUGUUUUUUAAUUGGAAACUGGAAUGAAAGAAUUAAUGAGAUAUAUACUGUCUCAUAUAUAUUUAAUAAAAUUAAAUUUUUAGUAAAAAUGCUAAAAUUAAUUUAUGGGACGAUAAGACCCUAUAGAAUUUUAUAUUAAUAUUUAGAUUUAAUUUAAUUUUAGGUAUUAAUAUUUAAUUGGGAGGAUUGGUAAAUUUAAUAAACUUUAUUUUAAAAUUUAACUUUGAUUAAAGGAAUUAUAAAUGAUCUUGUAUUAUAAAUUAUAAGAAUAAAUUACCUUAGGGAUAACAGCGUAAUAUCUUUUUAAAGAUCGUAUUGAUAAAGAUGAUUGCGACCUCGAUGUUGAAUUAAGAUAAAUUUUAAAUGUAGAAGUUUAAUGAUUAAGUCUGUUCGACUUUUAAAAUCUUACAUGAUUUGAGUUCAAAUCGACGUGAGU